CGAGAAAUGCUCUGUUUGAACAACUCAGUCUUAUUGGUUCAAACCAAAGCAAAAUGUUUAUCUAAAAUCUUGACAUUAUAUUCUUCCAUGCUAAUAUGUUAAAAUGUCUUUGUAAUUUGAGAGGCAUUUGUCAGAAACAGUGCAAUGAUAACUAAAAACAUCUGGCAGAAACAGAAAGAUAACUUUGAACUUGAACAUAAUUCAUAAAACUGUUUGAACAACAGAGUUUGAUAGUUUAAAUUAAAAAAAAACCACAAUUAUGCGUAAGCAUUAUUAUAAAAGCAACUUUGCACAUAAGCUGUGUGUGGCUUCUUGGUCAACUUGGUAAACGCUGGGUCCAGAGGUUUUUUGUUGACGACACAACUUGAGGUCGUUUCUGAACCUGGUGAUUUCUCGUUUUCAUUAUUACCAACGAUCACCUUGGUUGGGAGAGAGCUGACACCAGG
rnacentral:lncRNA from 1 species